rnacentral:rRNA from 1 species
UACGGAGGGUGCAAGCGUUAUCCGGAUUUACUGGGUUUAAAGGGUGCGUAGGCGGGCCUUUAAGUCAGUGGUGAAAGCUCCGAGCUUAACUCGGAAACUGCCAUUGAUACUAUUGGUCUUGAAUUCGGUCGAGGUUGGCGGAAUGUGUCGUGUAGCGGUGAAAUGCUUAGAUAUGACACAGAGCACCGAUUGCGAAGGCAGCUAGCUAGACCGACAUUGACGCUGAGGCACGAAAGCGUGGGGAGCAAACAGG